GCGGAGACAUAUUCAAAAUCCAACGAAUCACUGGUUGAUAAUUAAUAAUAAAUCCGAAAGAUGAAUAUUACGUUUCAAAUCAAUACAAGUGCUCUAAAAGCAAUGGUUAUUUGAGUAGGUAGGUAUCAAAUAUUUUUCUUGUAUUCGGUGAAUUGAUCCCGGCUGGAAAUUGGUCACUGAAAAAUUUAAUGCUUUGCGUAGACUUAUCUCCGGUUUAAACUCAUAUACUAAUUC